AUUGAACGCUGGCGGCAUGCCUUACACAUGCAAGUCGAACGCAUCACUUCGGUGAUGAGUGGCAGACGGGUGAGUAACGCGUGGGAACCUGCCCUUGGGUACGGGAUAACACCGGGAAACUGGUGCUAAUACCGUAUAGGCCCCGUAAGGGGUAAAGAUUAAUCGCCCUAGGAUGGGCCCGCGUCAGAUUAGGUAGUUGGUGGGGUAAUGGCCUACCAAGCCUUCGAUCUGUAGCUGGUCUGAGAGGAUGAUCAGCCACACUGGGCCUGAGACACGGCCCAGACUCCUACGGGAGGCAGCGGUGGGGAAUAUUGGACAAUGGGCGCAAGCCUGAUCCAGCCAUGCCGCGUGAGUGAUGAAGGUCUUAGGAUUGUAAUGCUCUUUCACCGAUGAAGAUAAUGACGGUAGUCGGAGAAGAAGCCCCGGCUAACUUCGUGCCAGCCGCCGCAGUAA
rnacentral:rRNA from 1 species